CCUACGGGUGGCAGCAGUGGGGAAUAUUGGUCAAUGGACGAGAGUCUGAACCAGCCACGUAGCGUGAAGGAUGACUGCCCUAUGGGUUGUAAACUUCUUUUAUAUGGGAAUAAAAUGUUCCACGUGUGGGAUUUUGUAUGUACCAUAUGAAUAAUGAUCGGCUAACUCCGUGCCAGCAGCAGCGGUAAUACGGAGGUUCCGAGCGUUAUCCGGAUUUAUUGGGUUUAAGGGGAGCGUAGGCGGAUGGUUAAGUCAGUUGUGAAAGUUUGCGGCUCAACCGUAAAAUUGCAGUUGAAACUGGCAGUCUGGAGUACAGUAGAGGUGGGUGGAAUUCGUGGUGUAGCGGUGAAAUGCGUAGAUAUCACGAAGAACUCCGAUGGCGAAGGCAGCUCACUGGACUGCAACUGACACUGAGGCUCGAAAGUGUGGGUAUCAAACAGGAUUAGAUACCCUUGUAGUC
rnacentral:rRNA from 1 species